GAGGUCAACAGAAUUAUUUGCUAGGUUCUAGUUGGUUAAACCUGUAAAAAUUCAACUGAAGGCAAAAGGGCUGCACAGGUGUCCCUGAGGGAAUCAUUUGUCCUGCAGCUUCUUUAUUACCUAUGGCAAAGAAAUGAAUGAAUGAGUCCAGCUUGACUCUCAGAGCCCCAGGUUCCUUACGUGAUCGAGAUGCUUCCACUCAUCAGCCCACUCUCUCUCUGUUAAGCGAUGGUCCACGAGCUCAUCCUGAUAGCCUCCAUUUAAACCUGUUAAGAAUUACACCCAAAAUUAGGACCGGACAGGAUGAUUUCUUCCAUUAGACUUUACAAAUUGUGGUCUGGUAGCUCCAGCCAGCAGAUAACAAAUAAGGCUUGUUAAACUGAAACAAAUCAAUUGCAGUGCUGCCAAACAACACGUUAGCGAGACCCUGCAGUUUCACCAUCACCUUCAGAAAUGGAAUCACAAAGGGACGAAGAGGGAAGUUGGUGGCCUCUUGGAGCUUGCAGUGAAAUUCCUCAAUUGUCACUGUAGAGUUCUGUAAAAAGAAGCAAAAUGAAACUCCAUCUUCUGCAUAGUUUAAUCCUUAAAAUAAAUUCCGUGUGAAGAAGGAAUCCAAUGAAACUUGAAGUUAGCCUUUCCAUUU